AUUCCAAUCCCAAAAUAGUUCUGGCCUUUCCACUGGUGAUGAUGUCUAUUUGAUCACAAAACUGAAGCAUAAGAAGGUGGCUGGAAAACAAUUGAAGCAGAAGAAGAUGGCUGGUAGCAGUAAUAAACAAAACUAUGAUCGAUUUCUGGGAACCAGUGGGGGUAACUGGCAUCGUUCUGAUAAAGAUUAUAAAAUUGAGGUCGAUAGGGAUGAUUUUGUCGGGGUUCGUAAGAAAUUCUCUUACAAAAAUCUCAAAUCCAACCAACAUGGGUUAUGGCUCUUGUCUGAGUAUUCGAUCAGUUAUGAUGGUGGGAAGACUUGCUCCGAAGAUGUUAUAUGCAUCCUCAAGGACCAUAGAAAAU
rnacentral:lncRNA from 1 species